GGGGGUGAACGGUUUCGACUCCGGAAGCGGAUCGAGGGGAAGCGUGCCGAGGAAGGCGACGAUGAUCUCGUUAACCACCCGUCGCAAAAAAACAAGUGCCGCUAAUAAGCAGCACGUUCUGGCUAAGAGCCAGGCUGAGCUCGCGCUCGCUGCCUGAUCUAGUGCAGAACUGUCGGCCCGGGGGUGUUCCCGCUCCGGUGUCCGGCAUCAGCUAGGGGACUCACCCGUCCGCCCGGUCGCGGGGUGGACGGGAACAUCAAACAGCGACUGGGAUCGUCACACCGGCUCGUCCGCAUGACCGGUGGAUCCGAGUAGAGGCACAGCGGACUGCGCACGGAGAAGCCCUCGCGAAGCAACGGAGGACCCGGGUUCGAUUCCCGGCACCUCCACCU
rnacentral:tmRNA from 1 species